AAUUUUUGAAUCUGUAUUUCUGUUGGACUGUAUUUGGUAUCAGAUAUAUCUUUCAUUUGGUUACUUCAGCUCCAACUACAACUACUCGUCAGACUACAACUACUCCUCUGACUACUACUACUCCUCUGACUACAACAACUCAUCUACCUACAACUACUCAGUUGGCUACAACUGCUCUUGCUGCUACAACUGCUCUUCCUGCUAUAACUACUCAUCUGGCUACAGCAACUUGUCCAACUACAAUAGCCACAACAGCUCUCCAAAUGACCACUUCAGCCAUGUCUAACCUAACAACUAUAAUGACACACCAAUCGACUACAGUCACUCUCGAAUCAACAACAGCAGUUCUUCCUCGGAAAUCAACUUCUAAUCAAGCGAUAACCCCGGCUCUGACCACUUUCCCAUUGACAGAAGUUGCUCCUGUGACUACAGACACCACAAGUUUUCCGAAAAAUGAUUCUGAACUCGAAGAGAUAAGAGCUUCCAGAGAUCCUGAACUACUGAUAAUUAUAGUCCCACUGGUGGGUUUUGUGAUCCUCCUGAUGCUGCUGGCUUUUAUUUUGAGAGGCACCCAGGUUUGUCCAUCUCGGAACUCCAAAGGAGCUGAACCAGGGACAUCAUUAGGAAAAGCUUCACCAGGCAUUACACACCAUCGUGGUAAAUCUGAUUGCUUGGACCUCGUAGGCUCAGAAGAUGUGGGUGUGGGCCAUACUGCCUUGGAUUUCACUGUUUCAUGAGUCUGCUCCAUGCUGCCAUCACAGCUGUCCUAUUUUCUCUCUGCUGAACAUCUAUUGCCAGCAUCAUAUCCCAUGAACCAUCCUGCCUUCCUUCCUUUUGUUUGUAUUAUUGGCUGGAAUGUCUUGUUCCACUUCCUUAGAAGAAUUCUUAAAAAGGAGAUACCAGUCCUUGACCCCCAAGCUUGGCUGGCUAUCAACUUCUUCAUUUGUAAAAUGACAGGUUCGACAAGAUUUCCUUUCAACUCUGCAGUGUUCUGAGCCUGAGAUCCUGGUCAUUUAGUGUCAGCAUUUCUGUUUGCUUAUUUGCGUGAUGGAAACAUUUUGAAUUACCAGUAACUUUUCUCCCUGUAAACUGGUCUGCCUCCUCUUUUCUCAUGGAGCAUAUUUUUUUUUUAACAGGAUUUCUUUCUUUUUUCCUUCUGGCUCAAAAUUUGAUAAUCCUGUGAUCUUCUAUAUCGGUGGCAUGCUUCUUUCUAGUUGUAUAGCUUAGAGCAAGUCUUCAUUUCUCUGGACCUCAAUUUCCUAUCUAUAAAAUGAAAGGGAUAGAGUAGAUAGUCUCCAAGUUCCCUUAACAUUUUAUGAUUCCUGUUUGGAAAUUGUCCUUAAACCCUGAAGCAUACUCUUGUGUAAUUUUACUGGUGGAAAUCCUUUUUCCUUUAAGGGCAAAUUUAAUUUUUGGAAAAAGUUCAAAUUCUAAGCUAAAUAUGGUGAAUGAGGUGGAUGAUCAAGCUGGGGAAUACCAUUUUUGUUAUAAUGUGAGGUAGGGGCAUACAAUAAAGAGCUUGAUUUUGUGGUGUGAUCUGUAAGC
rnacentral:lncRNA from 1 species